GGUCCGUUGGUCAAGAGGUUAAGACACCGCCCUUUCACGGCGGUAUCACGGGUUCGAAUCCCGUACGGACCA
rnacentral:tRNA from 5 species